rnacentral:tRNA from 1 species
AGGUAGGGUGGCCGAGGUAGGUGGCAAGUUGUAGCCUUGCCCACGGGGCCUUGCGCCUCCCCAG